GAUGUGUUUUUUCAUGAUCCCAGUAAACUGAAUAAAAGCAAAAGCCCCAAAACUCAUAAUGUGCCUCCCAUAUCUUUUUCUCAACUAGGCAUAUGAAGAGGAUGUAUUGACUUUUUAAUGAAUUUCAAGUUCCACAAAUGGGAGUCUUUCAGGAUCAAAAUAUUAGGGCCAUUUCUGCUGCUGAUCCAUGCUCAGACUCAGCACUUCAGCUGGCAGCUGCCUGCAGGCACCAGAGGAUGCCCAAGCAUCUGUCUUUCAGUGAAAUGGAGGAUACUCUUUCUGAGGGUGAGGGGACACCUCAUUCCCUGCAUGCCUGGGAGAAAGACUUGUCUUCCCCUGGAGAGGAGCAGCCUCUGGAGGCACCUGCCCCUUGUUGCCUUGACCCACAGCACACAUUGUCAUCCUGAAGGAGAAAUUCCUUCCAGGGCUUUGAGGCCAUGUGGGCUGCCUCCCAGUGCCAGUGCAGUGCUGCUCCUCCUGCUUCACUGAAUACUUCCUUGGACUCAGAGACACUAUUUUCACAUGGCCACUGUAGCAACCUUUCCACAUGUGCCACUGGAGAGGGUGCUUCACAGUCCCCAGGAUCAUAUCCUUGUGAUACAGAACGAACAACUCAGCCAGCAGCAACCACCUUCUUCCAAGGCACUGGGAAGCUGGAGAACCCUUUCCUAGUUCUUCACCAUUUUUGGCCCCAAACUUGGCUGCUCUGAACCGAACUCAGUACAAUAGCUGUCCCGCAGAGUGUAGGAAACUCAGAAAUGCUGUGUGUAGAUCCUGAGUUGUUUACCAGAGAGAAAAUUUAAAUCUUCUUCCUUUUAGGGGACCAAGGAUCUGGAGAGGAAACUUCAAGAUGCCUGUCCUUGUACAGGUUUUAUGUGUGCAGCGCAUAAGCCUCAGUCCUCCACUUACAAAGUCCUGAUGGACUUCCCACUCCUGCAGUUGUGGGUAUGAUUUGAAACUGGUUAGGAUGCUAUUGCUUGAUUUUUCUUCUUCAUUUCCAUAUCUUCUCCAGGAAAAAAGCAAAAAAGCCACUGGGGAGUACAGGGGACAGAAUAAGACAGCACUGAGUGUCACUGGGAAAAGUGUGGAAAGGGAAGAGCCCCUUAUGGUAUCGAGGUAGGAGGUGGAGGAGACCCUUGCCAGCAAAAUCUUCCCCCACAGCAAUGCCUUGCAAGUGUCGUGGUCAUCUGCAAGUGACAACAGAGAUACAUCUUGCUCUCAACCGCAUCUCAUCACAUCGCAUCAGCGUGUAACUGCACUCGUAGAGUCUCCCACAUCUAAAGAGAAGUGGCUCUGCACUGAAAAUGUCCCCCGUUACACCCGCAGGAACUCUGGAAGCAGGAAAUACUCUGUCAAAAUGGAAUGGUCCAGGUUAUGGCUUGAUUGAACGAUUUAUCAUUUUUGAAAGGCAUGACAGCUGGUGUGAACUUUUGUAUCAGGUAUCAGCGUUCCCCACUCCAAAUACUUCCAUGUGACUGGCUUUGGUUAAAGAAGGCACUCUUGCUGAAUUUAAUUAGCUGGAAACACAAUUUAAGGGCAGAAACCAUCCCUUCUUGUUACCAAGGAAGAUGGCCUGGAGCGUUGCUCUGUGCCCAAGAGUCUCCCUAGCACAGCUUUCUGGCUGAGAAAACAAUGUGCUAUAUCCAGGAAAAAUAUGAAGGCUAUAUCCAUGCCUAGAAACUGUCACACUGGUAUCUUUAUAAAUUGUACUGAUGUAAAAACAAAGUGCCUUAAUUUAAUUACAUGUGUUUUCCUUGGUUAGUGUAAGAAAAGUUCGGGGGGGGGGCGUAUCUGAGGACCUUUCUCCUAUCAGACUAUCUUGAAAGGCAGAGGCCUCGAAGCAGACCCUGUCUGCUCUGCAGAGAUGUAGACACACACUUUUUGAGCAGACCCAUGCCCCAAGACUCUCAGCGUGCGAGGGCAGUGCAUCCCCCUGCCACAAAUCUGCAGCAAAAGAGGGAGAGAGAGCUUCCCCUGGCUUGGUGCUGCUCCAUGGGCUGGUGUGGUGGCAGGAGCAUAGGGUUCCCUGCACCACACAGCUGGGAGGCUGCUGUGCCCUUGCGAGGAGGUAGAUGAGGCUUUAGUAAGAGGGUAAUAAUGGUUUCUAACCCUUCUGCUGGUCACACAGAGGAAGAAGACUCUUUGCAGCUAUAUAUCUUAGUAGAAGGUGCACCAAGUAUGAAAAUGCAUCUUGAAGGAAAACAGGUGCUUUCAUUUGGCAUUUCUGAAAAAUAUAAAUGGAUGCUGACAAUCCAUCCCCUUCAAUCCAUCCCCUUUUACUGUCUGCAAGCAGCGCCUGGUCUGUGGAGACCUGGUGAACAGCUUGCUAAGAGCUUGUUGAUCAAACCAGCUUAGUUGUGAUCAGCCACGUGGCAUAUUCCCAUGGCCAUGAAGUAAAAACCCUCCACUCUCCUCAAAUAGUCUCUAAAACUCCCCUCCAACUUGCAGUCUUAGCUUGCUACAAGCAUGUCCACUAUGUUUAUAAGGCAAAGGGAACAGGAAAGGGAUGUGUAAGUUAGGCUGCAAAAAUUAUCUUCCAUCUCUUUUUUAGAGGAGAUGAGACAAGAGCCUGCAAAGUUUGGGAGAGCUAAUGUUACUGGUGCACUUGGGUAGGAGACAUCUGCGGUGAAGGUAUGUAUGAACUAAAAGCCCCAGUAAAAUGUGUCUGGUGAGGUUCUAGCCUGAGCAUGUUGAGGAAGAUGUAGGAGAGAUCCCCAUUAUCAUACUGAGCAUCUGGGAACUACGAGUCACUCUUAAGAGAACACACCAAAAAUAGUAAUAUAUGUCCAGGGUGGCAGGCACUGGACCCCCAGACAGAGCUGCAUCAAAUGGCUGGAGAUAACUGGACAAGAAAACAAAUGGCUGGAAAGAUAGCCAUCAAAUUCCUCUUAGUCCUUUCUCUGACACUUUGUUCUCUCUCUGCAAAAUGUUGACAAAGUUCCUUAAGACAGAAAGAGACUAGAAAUGGAAAAAGUAAGUGGAUAGGCCGUGGUUAUGGCUUAUUUUCUUUCCCCAACAGGGGAGUAUUGUAUAACAGAAUUUUGUUCAAGUAUCAGUUUUAUUCUUCAAAUAGUUAUUAUUCUUCAUACUGCAUAUGAAACAAGAGCUAUGUUUUGGGUCUAACAUACUUCUUGAUAACAGACUUUGAGUGAGCUUUUCAAAAAUUAAUAAAUAAAAAAAUAA
ensembl:lncRNA